AAUUAUGAUGCACAGCGCCUUGAGCACCUAGUCUUGGGAUACAUUGUAUGUGCUCUUUAUAAAUACCCAUUAUCAUUAUUAUUAUUAUUGUUAUUUCUAUGCAGCACUUGAAUCGGAGCAAUAUGAAGCUGUUGGCAGGCUUAUUGGCUAUCUACUGGCAGAGGGCAGUGUUCUUCCUAAUGUACUAGCCCCAGUCACCUUUGCUUUACUUGCCUAUAGUGCAAAGAAAGUGAUUUUGUGAUGUCACAGACCACAGCCAGAGGAUGUUGCUAUAUGAGAUCAAUCAGGCCAAUACAAAGCAGCAGUUGUUGCAUGUCAUAGAAGAGCACAGCAUGUUGCUGACAUUGGCAGGUUGUGGCUCUUGCACACUGAACAAGCAGCUGCUAGAAAAGCAUCUGACUCAUUUCUUUGUUGUUGAUUCAAAGCAUCGUGCAUUUGAACAGAUGAGGAAAGGACUGCAGUGGG